rnacentral:lncRNA from 1 species
GUGUAGCAAACGUGUGUAUCUGUGGUACCGGAUGCAGCGAGAAAUGUUGUCGAUGUGGAGACGCCUGCAAAUGUGUAAGUGGAUGCGGAUGUUCCGGAUGUGCAGUUGUUUGCAGAUGUUCAGGUUUGUUCAUAUUUACAGCUUUUUUGUAGAUAUCCAUUUUAUUUACAUAAUUUGAUGUUUUUACAUACAAAAUAAUAAGAAGAUGUGCUAUGUCUUGUUCUUCUAGAUUAAAGUAUCAAUAAGUACCCACUCAACUGAUUCAGUGUUAAGACGACACAAACAAUCUGUUAAAGGCACGACCUUGGCCAAUUCCUUAAAAUCAGCAAAACGUAUAGAUAUGAACAGUUUUGACCUACUUAUCAACAUAACGUGAUGCCGUAUGACCAAUUACAUAAAACUCCUACAGCGAACAAAUGACAUGGAAGCUAGGUCAACAAUGAGCAAAACCAAUACCGUAUAGCAGCCAAAGUACAUCACAAUCACAAUUGAAAAAUAAAUUCAGACUAGAAAACUAACGGCCUGAUUUAUGCACGGCACAAUGAACAGCAUGAUUCGCGGUGGUACACACAUGAGAUGAUUGCGUUAAGUAAGUUCGUGCGAUAUUUAGUUUUAUAUAUAUAUAUAAUAUACAUAUAUACGGUAUGUGAACCAAAUUACUUUUUCAUAAGAAUUUAAUGUGCAAUUUGCACAAACAUAAUUCUUCUGUUAAAAAGUAUUAACACUUUUGGAGAUUUCAUUUUGAAUGUCUAUAUUCAUAUUGAUAUAUAUUAUAUUUUAGGUACCUGUGCGUGUGGAUGUGACUGUACUGGUCCGACAAACUGCAAAUGUGAAUCUGGGUGCUCCAGCUGCAAAUGAAACAAAGACAACCACAACGUUAACGUGCAUAAUUUUGUCAUUCUUAGUCUAGUCAUUCCUAUCAUGCAUACGAACAUUUUAAUUCGUUAUAUUCACUAGUAUCAAAUACACAACUUUUAUAAAUCUUUUUUGUUGAAAAUAUUUAUUUUGUAUUUAAAAUGUUUUGAGUCC